CCAGACUCCUACGGGAGGCAGCAGUGGGGAAUAUUGGGCAAUGGAGGAAACUCUUACCCAGCAAUGCCGCGUGAAUGAAGAAGGUCUUCGAAUUGUAAAGUUCUUUAAUUGGGGACGAAACAAAUGACGGUACUUGAUGAAUAAGCCACGGCUAACUACGUGCCAGCAGCCGCGGUAAUACGUAGGUGGCAAGCGUUAUCCGGAUUUACUGGGUGUAAAGGGCGUGUAGGCGGGACUGCAAGUCAGAUGUGAAAACCAUGGGCUCAACCCAUGGCCUGCAUUUGAAACUGUAGUUCUUGAGUGUUGGAGAGGCAGGCGGAAUUCCGUGUGUAGCGGUGAAAUGCGUAGAUAUACGGAGGAACACCAGUGGCGAAGGCGGCCUGCUGGACAAUAACUGACGCUGAGGCGCGAAAGCGUGGGGAGCAAACAGGAUUAGAUACCCUCGUAUUG
rnacentral:rRNA from 1 species